rnacentral:sRNA from 5 species
AUAUCUCUCUGUACGGGAAGGAUGAGAAGCUUCUACCAGGGUUCGAUUCGAGCGCAGCGAGAAAGCGUUGCC